CAGCAUUACCAUUCUCUUAAUCAACUGGACUGAAUCCUCAACUUCAUGUAUCCAGUCAACAACUACGUACCCAGUGAUUGCCAACUGAAUCUCAGUGGAACUUUCCUAGCCUCUGGGAAUGCAAAGGUGAAGGAGUGAAUCUGGUCACUGUUCACCCUCUGGGCUAGCAGCGAAAGUUAUGUAAGCUACUACUAAUAAAGACACGUUCCUAGGAAUCUUAUCUAGCCCUUGACUUGUUGCAUUGUACAAAGUAAGUGAGGGUGUGUGUGUGUGUGCACACGUGCAACAUAACUCUGUAUGGGAAAAUAGGCAUCAUUGCUCUCAACAUAUCUUUCAGCCUUCUAUCCAGAGGAGUUUCACUGGCCCAUUGAGCCUUCAACCACAUA